ACAAGACUGCCCUUUAAAGAGGCAGUGUGUCUCAGGGCAGCAUGCCUGUGUCACAGCAGAGUAUAGAGGUUCCUGAGCUAGUUUUAAGUGAACUGCACUGGAUAUCGUAGAGGAAUCCAACUGUGGCACUUCAGCAUGGGCUAAAUUUACCCUGCUUCUCUGCACUGUGGCCUUACUCUGGUUUAGAGGUUUGACAAAUUGUCGGCAGGUCUGAACACUUCAGGAACAGCCCGGCAUUAAUCCCAGGUUCAAAUAGGAAGUAAAGACUGCCAAAAGACAUUGGGAAAAGAAAAAGAGCUGCUUCUCACCAGCAUUUAGAGGACUUCAACCUUUCAAGAGGAGGUUCUGAGCUCCUGAUGAGAGCAGACUUUCAUAAACUGUGUUCCAGUUUUACAAUUGUAUACCCAGGCCAGAUCUUUUGUUCCCAGAACUUCUGAAGUUGCUUAAAAAAAAAUCAGUUAUUGAAAGCCUCUUUUUUUCUCCCCUUUUACCAAGACUGAGUCUUCUUAAAUAAUGCUGAGCCUGUGCACUCUACUCUAUCAGGAGUGAAACUGCAGCUUAUCAUGAAAUGGAGAACCACAGCGUACACCUUUGUGGGGAAGACAGUUGGAGAGAUAGGAGAGCAAUUUCCCCUUCUGUAUAUUGCCUCCUUCUCUGUGCAGACUAUGCAUAGAUAGCAGAGGAAAACUACCAAAUCCAUAAGCCCAAACUGUUUGGAAACACAUUGUAUCAUGACAGUCAGGUUGCUCAGGUCCCAUUUAAUGCCCAGCACAAAGUAAAGCUUCAUGGCCUGCUGUUUCAAAAAAGGGUAGUUUAUUUUAAAUCUUUCAGUACAUGACUGAUUCACUGGGUCAUCUGUGUUUUGAAUGCAGCAGAUUCUGUCAUGUGGGUACGUGUGUAUAUGGUGUAUACAUGAGUGAGGAAAGCUAGGGGUGACUAACUACUUCUACUUCUCAUUUCUAUGAACUAGAGAUCUGAACGUAGAGAUAUAUAUAACCUGAAGCUAAGAAUGCAGUAAAUUACUGGAUGGUGAGAUUAGAAGUUUUUUAUAUAACCCAGUGGAGAAGUAACAAAGAGUUUUUCUACAACGAAAUGCUUAUUUCCAGUAUCCAGCAGAAUGCAGGUCUCCUAUCUGAACCGCAAAAUCAAAACUGACUAUGAAUGACCAAGGGAAUGAGACAAUUUCUUUAGACAGACAGGUAAAACACUCAAGUCUUUGAUCUUGGACUGCAGAAAAAAUACUGCUCUGAUUCAAUUGUCACUUAAAUGGGUAUAAAUCAGGAAUAGCUUAUGUAAAUCUUACAUCUGUACUGCACCUUCUGGUAAGUCUCAUGGGCUCAACAAUGAUGUGAUCUAAUUUCAAAUGUCAUUGAGUAUUUAUUCAGAAUGAGUUUUACAAGACUUCUCUGGAGCACUUCUCUGUUUGAAAGGAGAAAUAGGUUAAAAAAAGGGUCAUUUACAAGGAAAAGACAAGGCAAGAACACUCAGCGUGAGGGCCUGGUUUGAUACAUGACAAUGUUUAAUCCUUACUGUUCCUAAUCCUUCAGACCAGACUUGCAACACUGGAAGCUUUUCAGUUCUUACUCUGGGACUUACUGACUACUAAGAGGACAGAGCAGUCCCAGUCUCCUCAUUUAGUGUUGGCUUAAUAGGAACAAUGUAAAGGACAAGAUGCAGCAUAUGUUAAAAGUACAUGCCUGUGGGUUACAUAUGUCAUGCAGCUGGAAGGUUGCUGCCUUACAGAAGUAAUAAUAUGGCCAAGAAACAACCAUUAUGAUCAGGCAUAUGGGCAGCCAAGUGAGUAAUGCUGCCAGGAGGAAUGCCUACAGUGCAGCAGUUGUGAAAUACUGAUUACAAAGUCCUGAAGUAGCUGCUUGCCCCUGACAAGUCAUUUCUGCUGAAGCAGGAGUCUUUCCAGGCUGAUAGUUUCUAAAUGCUCUUUCAGGCUUAUGCAUUUUGGAUGUCUUUAGCUGAAGCUGGUUUGUUCUUCCUAUCUAUAUCUGCAAUGCCUCCUAUCAUAACCUAUCAUUUCAGCUUAUCAUCACCCUCCUGGGAAUCUUUAGUUCCUCAACAGAGUUGACUGGAAACCUCCCCUCGUGCAUCAUUUCCUGAAGAGUUCAAUCAGCUUAGCAGGAAAGACUGAAGGCCAAAACCUACAAAUAAGAUAAGCUUUGUUAUGGUAAAGAGAACACUAAAUGUAUCUGCUGCUUUUCUUCUUUUUGAUUUUUCCCCCCUCCUCAGGGUAUGUGAAAGGUGAGGAUGAAAUCUGCCUCUGUCAGACACUGGCUGCUGUUAAAAAUAGACAUGUCUCCAGUAAGAUGUUUUGGGGAUGGGGUUUGAUAAGGGUUUUUUAUAUUAUAGUUAAGGAUACAUUCAUGUCAAAUUGCUGGCAAUCUGAUCAAAGCUAUCACUUUGUUCUCCUACUUUUUCUUUUCUUCCUUUCCCAGUUACAUGAAUACAUGGUUGCUCAGAAAUUUUAUUCCUUAUUUUAAAUAAGCUCUUGGUACAAUAGUCCCAGCAACCCAAAAGUAAAGCAAGUUGUUAUGCAAGGUUAAACAAUGAACAUGGUAUGUUCUAUUUAUUUCAUUUAGCCAGUACUAGAGCUUUAUCCCAAGAAUAUUUGAUUGUUGUGAGAAAAGUCAUAUUAAUAAUAUUUACGAUAAAACUGAAACCAGAACUUAAUAACAUUAAUGUUCUACAAAAUCAUGUCUGCUUCAAAACAGCCUUAGGAUUUUGACUGCAUCUCAUUCAGCACAGCCAUAUUCAUAAUUUUCUGUGGGCUCCUGAGAGUUAUUUUGUUGCCCUUGAGGGUAUUGGUGCUAGUUCUGCCUGCAGUCUGCUCAGCCCUUCACUACCAGAAGUGUUUGUGAGAUGCAUUUUGUCAUGUAUGUGGCCUUGUGAGGUCUCCAAAAAAAAAGUGUUAAAUUUACAUGACAUUCUUAUCUGUUGACAGCUACAUUUUCCUAAUCAGAAGAAGCAAGUUCAGAGUAUGGUUGUUAUUGCUGCUCCUGUUAUUUUUAAAAAUUCCUUAGGGUAAUUGUGCCAAAUGUCACUAUUUGAAGAAGGUGAAGGAGCUGAUCAAGUUAAAUUCUGAGAUUGCUUUGUCAUCAUAAAAGGGUAAAGAGUGACUGCAAAUAUUCUUCAUGAAAAACAAAUGGAGUAUCUGAGUUUUUUUCCACUGGUUUUGCUUGAGUGGAGUAAAUCCCAAUUCACGGUGGCGGGCACGAGAGAAGGGCAAGAAUCCUAGGCAAGAAUCCAGGGAAAAUGUAUGCCAACACUUGUAAAUGAAAUAAUUGAGGGUUGGUUCCUCCCUGCACACUUACGGCUGGAAGUCAGUGACAAUUAGUGAUGAAAGUCACUUUUUCCCCUGGCAGAACUUUGCCUGUUGGGGUUUGUCAUUUUCCUGUUGGGGUUUGUCAAGUGCCUCUUCUGGAGCACAAAUGACACUACAGCAGGCAGCUGCUAAUACCUUUUACUCUGUACAAGAAAAGCUAUUCCCCUUCACCCUUGAUGUUUCAGAGUGGAGCUUUUCUAAGCUAAGUGCACAGAGUUUUAAAGAAGGGUAAAUAUGUUAGUGUGUAUAUCAUACAUACACACACAUAGAUAUAUAUACGUAUUAGGGCAUGCUUAUAGUUUAUUAAUGUUCUUGUGGCUGUAAAUACUGAUGAUAUAGGAAAAUGUAACGUGGCCUUGUAAAAAUAAUUUAUUAGUACAUAGUAAACUACAGGAUCCCAUUGCAGUUGUUACUUAUAAUUAACAAAAUUAAGUUUCCCAGACACAAAUGGCAACUAUUGUGGUUUAACCAUAUUUUGAUUUUUGGUUGUUUAAAAAUUUCUGUGACUAAUCUCUUCAUUAUAAGUUCAGGGUUAACUUGAGUAAUGCGGUGUUGAGAGCAACUGAAUCUGCUCACUUGUGCUGAUGACUCCAGACCCCCUGCACAUCUUCAGUGUGUAGCUACUGCUCUGGAGCACAGAUACUUACAAUUGUCUGGCUUUCACUGGCAGGUAUAUAGGAAAUUAGAUGUGGUAUUUGAUGGCUCAGUUUCAUUUUGGGGGGUUUACAGUGUUGAUCUCAGCAGAGCUUAGACCAUGUGAUCAUACUGAAAUGCAGUAUUGGACAGAAUUGAGAAAUAUGCUUAUUCAGAGAUCUAACUGUCAAGCGCUCUAAAAACUUCUCUGUUGGAUGUGGAUACCACUGCUGGGAGCACAAUAAAGAAGAAAUAUUUGCAUUAGGAAUUAUUCUGUCCUUACUCAGCAUCUUUUUGUAACUGCAUCAGUAGCCAGAACUUGCCAUGCUGCUGUGUGAACUCAUGAAUGGAUUGGCAUUGACAUAGUGAGUCUUUUUUCCAGUGUCAAAACAUUACAGUAUGUUUAGAGUUGCCCCUGGCUAAAGCCAUUUUAAGUGAGAGAGAGAGAGAGUAUGAAUGUGAUUUACAGUAAAGGUCUUUUCUUCUUUGUAGAUCACUGAAGGGUGGAGGGAGAGCCUCCCCCUGCCCAUCUGUGUGAACUCGGCUAUUCUACACAGUAGCAGGAGCUGGGGUUCCCUGCAAGGAGACAAAUAGGAAGAAUUAUCCACACCUGAACCUGAGAUUCACUUAUGCUACAUGUGUAUUUAUCAAAUUCAACUGGAUGGGAACCCUGUCCCCUGAAGAACAUACUUGUGAAGAGCUAGAAAUCAUUAAAUCUAGUAACUGCAUUGAUGUGAGCUGGUAACACAAAUGGACACAGAUCAGUUCUCUCCAUUCCAUCUGGAUUUCACUGUGUUGAGAAAAGUGAUAAAGAAAAUUUCUGCUGUACUGGUUAUGCUUAUGAUAGAUGAAAGCCCCUCUAAAGAUGACACUUUAAUGUUCUCUUUCUUGACCUUCUGAUGUAUGUUCAGUCUUGGUUGCUGACUAAAGUAACAACACAGAUAAUUGAGCUUUUAAAGGCCCCAUUUCAUAAAUCUAAUAACAACACUGAGGGAAGCUGAGGUGUAUUCUCUUCUUACUAGUGUAUCAUUAAUAUAUCUGGUAUCACAUUUUCCAUGUAAAAUAGCUCCUAAAAAAAGGAUCUGGGCUGACUUUCAGGCUCCAGUGGGCUGACCAUUAGGAAGGAAAUCUUCCUGCUACCUUCAUUAGGAAGAAAAGGACGCUGCAUGAGAGACACUUUUCGAAGUAUGCCUCAGCAGCAGCCCUGUGUUGAGGGAUUUGGUGGCCUACAGCUAGUAAUACUUAGUGGUGUCCUUCAGAAAGGGGACACAAGCCAGUUUUGAGUUGCUAUGCUCCUCUAAAGGGAUUUUGCUAAAAAAGGAGAAGAAUUUAUCACCUCUUAGAAGAUAUUUUGGCUGUACUAUGCAAGCAAUUUAGUAAAAUCUCUGUGAGUAUUGGCAGUCUUUGAAACAAAAGAAGUAGGGCUGCUUUGUGUGCACUGAAGAAUUUUUGCUUUUGACUCCACUGGAGCCAUAAUUUGUCACCAGAUUCAUAUCCUGAAACCUAAAGUGCCCUUAAAAGGGCUACUGCAAAUUUAUAAAUCAUAAUCACAGUCCUUGGUUGACAUGACAACUGGUACCAUCCUGUUUAGGAUCUUGCCCUGCAAACCUGUAACCCUCUGUCUGUAGCCCACUCAGUACUCACCCAUGAGAUUGCUUUGUCCCCACCUAUUUUUACAACUUUUGUUGAUGACAAAGAACACCUUUUUUAAAAAAGUGCUUGAAGGCAAAUUAUACUCCUGAAUACUUAGUGUUUUACUGCUUGGGCUUCAAACACUCUGUAACAAGCUGAUUUGUUUAAUGUCUACAGUCCUUACUGGAAAGUUUUUAAAUUGUGUAAACAUUCCUACCAGUUUUAUGUGUUUCUAAACAUUUUUUUUAAUGUGGGUACAAAUUUAACUUGACAGUGUACUUUCCAAGCUUCCAUUAAAUAGGGCUAACUUUUUAUUGAUAGAGGAAUAUCUCUGAAAUAGCUUUAUGAUGUCUUGCAAUGGAAGACUUUUCAUUAACUCCGACUAGAAAAAUAACCUACCAUGUAUUUGUAAGUCUUUUAUCAGUUCUUACUGUAUCGUAAUGUCUGUGGGACCCCUGCUGGUGGAAAGGGGAAGAGACUGAAAAACUUUAAAGUUAAUGGAGAAGGGAAUAUAUUCUCACUGUACAUUGUGUUUGCCAGCUACUGUUAUCAUACAGCCACCAAAGAUCUCAGUGUUUUGAAACUUCUUACUUACAGGUUGCAGUUUGUUGCUUUCCUCACAUAACUGUGUUUUACCUCCCUUCAAGUGUGCCAGUGCUGCUUUAAAACAUCACUAUAGAAAUCUUCAGCUACACCAUCUGGUUCCAGUUUUCCUUAAUUUGGUGUCAGCCAAGCUCCUACAGUCCGGAUGAUUAAAAGGGACAGAGUUAAACCUGCUGCACUUUAGGGAUUUAAGCCUUCCUUUUCCUCCUAUAAAUUCUGACCUUUCCAAAAUGAGUUUUCUUUCUUUUCUUUUCCCCUAAGAAAGUGGAACAUAAAGCAAAUGUUUGAUAUUUUUACUGGUGGAGCCAAAUUCCUAUGUUCUGGCUGCUUUUCACUGACAGAAAAAUUAUUCCACAAUAAUUUGUCAUUAUUUCCAAAGUGAUACUGUAUGUUACUGUAACAAUAACAACUAACUUGGCCUUUUGAGAGGUAUAUAUUUUCUCAAGAAAUUUCAGUCUAGUAGGGAAAACACUGAUCAUGAUGACCUUGGGGGAAUACAGCCUAAAGAAAGAAGUGGACGUUUGUGACUGUUUUGAAAUCUCCUGGCUGGAACAGUUUCCUGUUGAGGCACUUUGUGCUUGUGUGACAACCCAUGGAGGGGUUCUUCUGUGUGCUCUGUCUGCAGCCUUGGUCCUGAAAAGGUAAAGAGGGAGCAGGGACAGCCUCAGUCCCCUCUGCUGAAGGGCUCCUUGGGGAAGGAAAACACUGUGCUGUGCAUAAAAAAUCGGUGUAACUGUUAUCUGAUUGUCUGCCUGAUUACAGGACUAAACAGAGUUAGGUUGGGUACCAGUAUAUGCCAAGUAUACUUGUCCUCUGUUCCUCGUAGUAUGACUGAGCCUUGGGAUCAGUUAUUUAGUGGGAUCCUUGGAAAGGCUUGAUGAGCUGCUGAAUUCUUCCUUGUCUGGAUUCCUUUGUUUAGGUUGCCUCGAAUUAUCACUGCAUGUUAUUAUUUUUAUACACGUACAACUUUUAAAUCCACAUAGAUGACACUUUUUGUGCCAAAAAUGCACUACGCACUUCUCAGACCUUGCAGCUGGUUGAGCACCAGUGAAGGAAAUGAAUUUGGUAACUGAGCUGGGAGAGAAAGGUGCUUGGAGAUGCAGUUUCUAAUGCUUUCUUGUAGAUAUUCCCAUCAGACCACGUAAAGAACUUUUCCCGUUUAUAUUACGAAAGAAAUAGGAGAAUAUAAAAUUUUUAAAAUCUUUUAAAAUUAAAACCUUUGGGAGCUUAAUUAAAUGUACUGUGAGAAAUAUGUGCAGUUCACUUACAGCUGUUGACUUGAGGUUUAUGCAUUAUUGCCAAGUCCUGGAAUGAAUAAAGCUUUAAUGUUGGAA